rnacentral:rRNA from 1 species
GACGAACGCUGGCGGCAUGCCUAAUACAUGCAAGUCGAACGCUGGAGCACCCUGCUUGCAGAGUGCGGAUGAGUGGCGAACGGGUGAGUAACACGUGGGGAAUCUGCCUAUAAGUGGGGGAUAACAUUCGGAAACGGAUGCUAAUACCGCAUAUAUUCUUGGACCGCCUGGUCCUUGAAAGAAAGACGGCUUUGCUGUCGCUUAUAGAUGAUCCCGCGGCGUAUUAGUUAGUUGGUGGGGUAAAGGCCUACCAAGACAAUGAUACGUAGCCGACCUGAGAGGGUGAUCGGCCACACUGGGACUGAGACACGGCCCAGACUCCUACGGGAGGCAGCAGUAGGGAAUCUUCCACAAUGGGCGAAAGCCUGAUGGAGCAAUGCCGCGUGAAUGAAGAAGGUCUUCGGAUCGUAAAGUUCUGUUAUUAGAGAAGAACAAGUCAAGGAAUAACUGUCUUGACUUUGACGGUACCUAACCAGAAAGUCACGGCUAACUACGUG